GUUAAGUGAAGUUUUCCAACCCACAGCUGUAUCCUUGCAGGAAGCAGAUAAUACAAUUAAAGGGAUCAAUUGAAAUGAGUUUGAUGGAGAGACUAUUCACAAAGGCUGGGCAUGGUUAUGAGAACCAAAAAGAAAUGGUGACUACCUGAGGACUAGCAUCAGUGGGAAGCUGUUAGAACUGUGAGGGCUGAAGCGGCAAGUGGAGAGGAAAUGACUUUACUGAAAGCUGAUGAGAACUGUAGCCAUGCCACGAGGCCCAUCCAGCAUGAACUCUGGCCCUGCAUAGAGUAACACAGUCAUUGUCAAACCAGAGCCUGGCAGAGAGAAAGAGGGAGUUGGACAGGAAAGGAUGCAGAACAUAUCCCCCAAUUUCUCCAUCCUCCAG
rnacentral:lncRNA from 10 species